rnacentral:lncRNA from 10 species
CAGCCUAGGCAAAAUGGGGAAACCUUCUCUACCAAACAGUUCAAAAGUUAGCCAGGCAUGAUGGUGUGUACCUGUAGUCCCAGCUACUUGGGAGGCUGUUGGGAUGAUUAGUUUGGGACUAGGAGGUCAAGGCUGCAGUGAGCCAUUAUCAUGCCACUGUGUUCCAGCAUGGGCAAGGAAGUGAAACCCUGUCUCAAAAAAAAAGAAAGACCCUACACCCUGUAGAACAGAAAGCAUUGCAGAGGCUGACACCACUACUUCAGAUAAUUAGAGAAAGAUGUAAAAAAUGGCACAAGAGCAGGAAGCAAGGCUUAGAGGUAGAGUCACAGUACUCUGGGAUAAGAGACCAAGGGGAGAGUCACAGUAGUUGAGUGCA